rnacentral:sRNA from 1 species
GUCGGGCGUGAAGCUUUCCGGGCCGUUGAAGAAGGUGUGGAUGCCGGCCGUC